GCUAUCAGCAGUUUUGCACUAUUCAUGUCCAACAUUUGACCAUUCGUCUUAUUAAAAAAAUUUAUGAUUAGUAUUUUUAUUAUUAUUAGAUGAUAAAACAUGAAUAAUACUUUAUGUGUGACUAAUUUUAUUAAUUUUUCAUAUAUUUUUUAAAUAAGACGGAUGGUCAAACAUUGGAUACGGAUAUCCACAACUGCAAUUAUU
rfam:Oryza meridionalis cultivar OR44 (W2112) chromosome 7, whole genome shotgun sequence.